rnacentral:snoRNA from 1 species
UCCCGGGCUGAUAACUGGAUGGUUUGAUCGGUGUUCAGUCCCUUUCUGUCUUUUAAGUGUCCGGGAAAGCAACGAAAGGAUGAGUUGACGCUAUGCUAUUGAAUGAUGGAUACCAUAAUUGGUGUAUAAUUAUUCAAUGGUUGUCUUUUUCUCCUUUACAUUG